CAGAAUCACUCGCAGUUGAAAUCAUCACAAGCAGAGUCACUCAGUGUAAGCAAUUAGGCACUAUGUUCCUGGAUUCUGAUGGCUUUCCUUUUCACAACAUUACCCAGUUUAUUUGUGGCUUACCACAGCCCUGCUCAUGCAAGACGACUCAACACCUCAGAAAUAACAACCAAUUUAACCCAUUGCCUGACUGUUUCCUCCAAUUUGAUGGAGGCAGCAGAGAAUGCAUUCCAUCAGUUCCAGAAAAUAUUUAAGUGUUCUCUUGACCACAAUCCCACCAAAGACCCUAAGAAUGAAGAUAAGAUCGUGAACGCCUGCAUGGAAGGAAAAUCAAUGGUAUUAUAACAAGUACUUUCUACAAACCUAAUGAAAUUAACAGGAUUUGUGGC
rnacentral:lncRNA from 11 species